AUUGAACGCUGGCGGCAGGCCUAACACAUGCAAGUCGAGCGAGUGGCGGACGGGUGAGUAAUGUCUGGGAAACUGCCCGACGGAGGGGGAUAACUACGGGAAACGGUAGCUAAUACCGCAUAUCAUCGGAUGUGCCCAGAUGGGAUUAGCUUGUAGGUGGGGUAACGGCUCACUUAGGCGACGAUCCCUAGCUGGUCUGAGAGGAUGACCAGCCACACUGUAACUUAGACACGGUCCAGACUCCUACGGGAGGCAGCAGUGGGGAAUAUUGCACAAUGGGCGCAAGCCUGAUGCAGCCAUGCCGCGUGUAUGAAGAAGGCCUUCGGGUUGUAAAGCACUUUAAGUUGGGAGGCGUUACCAACAGAAUAAGCACCGGCUAACUUCGUGCCAGCGGCCGCGGUAAUAC
rnacentral:rRNA from 1 species